AUUCCAGCUCCAAUAGCGUAUAUUAAAGUUGUUGCAGUUAAAAAGCUCGUAGUCGUAUUUCUAGGUUAAGUACAAUGUCCUGUGGCACUGCUACAGUGUACAUAUGUAUCUUAACCUAUCCUUGUAGUCAACAUAUUUGGUCUUAAUUGAUUGAGUAUGGGAGCUACAUCGUUUACUGUGAAAAAAUUAGAGUGUUUAAAGCAGGCAUUUGCUGUGAAUACAUUAGCAUGGAAUAAUAAGAUAGGACUUUGGUACUAUUUUGUUGGUUUGCAUACCAAGGUAAUGAUAAAUAGGGACAGUUGGGGGUAUUCAUAUUUAGUUGUCAGAGGUGAAAUUCUUGGAUUUACGAAAGAUGAACUUAUGCGAAAGCAUUUACCAAGGAUGUUUUCAUCG
rnacentral:rRNA from 1 species